UGGGUGACGAGUGGCGGACGGGUGAGUAAUGUCUGGGGAUCUGCCCGAUAGAGGGGGAUAACCACUGGAAACGGUGGCUAAUACCGCAUAACGUCGCAAGACCAAAGAGGGGGACCUUCGGGCCUCUCACUAUCGGAUGAACCCAGAUGGGAUUAGCUAGUAGGCGGGGUAAUGGCCCACCUAGGCGACGAUCCCUAGCUGGUCUGAGAGGAUGACCAGCCACACUGGAACUGAGACACGGUCCAGACUCCUACGGGAGGCAGCAGUGGGGAAUAUUGCACAAUGGGCGCAAGCCUGAUGCAGCCAUGCCGCGUGUAUGAAGA
rnacentral:rRNA from 1 species